UAUAAAUAAAAACGGUGUUGUUGUCGAACAAGAUUUUUGAAUCUUUCUAAACUUCAAUAAAAAAAAAAAAGAAAAAUAAUUCGAUGAAAAUGUAUCAUCGUUCACAAAAAUGCCAGACAAUCAAAUACUCGCAAUACGAUUCCUUCAGAAAUCCUCUAAACUUUCAUAUCUUAUAAAUAGAAUUCAAAAAAUACGUAUUACACCCUAUCCUUUUCGUUUAGAAGUGGACCGAAGUAUUUCCAAACCUGAUCGAUUUCAAUUUAAGAAGAGGUCGACGUCAUCCGCGGCGUGCCCCCGAAGCGAAUUCUCUGUCAUCCGAAGAUUACCCAGCCGGACUUUACGAACCGCGAAAGACGUCGUCGAAACGAUCCUCCUUUGCGAAGGCUGACAGAUCGAUUCCCUUCGAAAUAGGUGGAAGUAAAAAGAUGCUGCGGUUUCCUCGAUGAAAUUCUCAAGAAUCUUUCUCAACACCACCACGGAUUUCAUACGUCAGAGUUUUAAAAGGAUCUCGGGCAUUUUAUCCUAUCCCGAGAGCAGCAUCUCUUCUACCCCGUAUCUUCUCCCUCUCCCUCUUUAUCUUUCUCUUUCUUUCUCUCUCCUCUUCUCUUUGCAUUGCUCUUCUUGCAAAUCCUCUUGACGAGGAGUAUGCUCGUUUACCUCCGUCUUACUCGUUCCUCUUGGCCACCGAAAGGAUACCAGACCUAGAAUGAGACCAUUCCCGAGUAUCAAGGAAAAAUCAUAUUUCCGCAUCUUGUCCACCAGACUCGAAGAGCAUUCUUUGCUUCGAGUGUUCGUAACUUCUUGUUUGCAAGAUUCUUAUUUUUUCGCUUUUUCAUCUUGGAAGGAAUAUCGUGACGAGAUAAUCUUAUUUGCCAAAAUUAAUUCACUAGUUUUUCAGUAAAAUCUCAGUUAAAUCUUAUUAGGAAUAUAACAAGAUAUUUUUGAAUAAUAAUUUGCAUAAUAUUGCACAAAUUGAAUUGUUGAAUUAACUUUCGCGAAAUUAAAUUAAAUUUAAUCUAAUUCGAGUUCUAAUUUCAAAUCUAAAAUUAGGAUUGAAUUUCAAGAAUUAAAAAAAAAAUUAAUUUAGUUGGAAAAAAAUUAAAAGAUUUUAUUCAAGAAUUUUUAAAAAGAAAAAUAUAAAUGCAAUAUUAAAUUGUCAAGAAGAUAAUAGUUUUUUGACUCGUCCGAUGAAUAUCAUUUCAUGUUUCAUCCUUUUUUCAAUAUUUUUCGCAUCUAUUUCGAAUCUUUUCUUUCUCUCCUGCUUUGAUGAAUUUUCAUUCCCCCAUAAUCUCUCUUGUUUUUGUAUCUCUCACGCGUCUCCCUCCCUUCUUAUUUCUUUUUUUCACAUUCUCCUCUCCUCUUCUCUCUCUCUCUCUCUCUCACCCGUUUAUAGAUAUCUCCGGUCUGUUUCUCUCCGAUUCGUUCAGCCUCUUGUACAUUUUCGUUGGUCCUCGAAUGCCCUCCCAGUGCGCUUUUCUUUAUCUCGACUAUUGUUGUUCCACCUCUGUCGCACCCCCACCAAUCUUCCGCUAUCACUUCAUCCCUCUCCAGGCUUUACAGAAAACGACAAUGGCAAGGAGAUAUCGUUCCACGAACUAAGCACUUCGACUCACUUUUUAUAUUUCCCUCCGUUAUUCAGGAUCCGCGGAUAUCACGCGGAUUUGUGCUUUACGAUCGGGAAACGUUCUGUCGCAUUUGACACCAUUUGAUAACAGUGUCUUUACACCGAAGAAUUAAUCUUUCGAAAAUAUUUCAAAAGUUACAAGAUAUUAUUUCCGCGUCUGUUCAGGAUCGAGAAUUACAAUUUUAGAUUUAAAUCGCUCACUUUUUUGAAGCUUAUAUAUCAUCUUUAAUAAUUGGAUCUCGAGCUCCGAAUCGAUCGUGUCCGAUUUUUCCCGAAUCAAUCCGAAGAUGGGAUCUCGGGUGGGAAACUUAAUCCAAACCUAACCUAAAAACUUUCUAAUAGAGAAUAUCGAGAUCUUAUCCGAUCUCGCUCGAACUUUUCCGAUUUAUCCCGAAGACCUAGCAAUCUUUCAAAGAUCAAAGAUAACAAACUCGUUCCAUUUGUUAAUUCCUCCUCCUCUUUCAUCGGUGGAUUAGAACUUGUUCUGUUUGGAAAGAGAAGGAGGGAAGGGGAAAUGUCCUGACAGGCAAUAAAAUUAUAAAUUUAUCGAGAAAAAUAGAGAGCGACAACAAAAACAUACCAUCCGUUUUUCAUUUAUGUAAAUCGAUUCGACUCGGUUGUGACUCGUUGAAGGGAAAACGAGGAAAAGAAGAACUUUUGCAGGGGAAAAUCUCCGAUUCGAAUCGAGCGGCGGGGAGGAGAUCGUUAAAAAUGUUCAAGUUAAACACCGUUCGCGAAACUAUCGGACAAAUUGUUUCCCUUUCCUUUUCUAGAGAAGUUGAAAUACGACGAUGAGGAAGACGACGACGGUCGAAGAUCGAGAAGCACAGAACUUCGUUAGCGAUGCCACGUUGAAACUGUAUCAAACUUGUCUACUUUCACCUGCAGUUAGUUAUUAAUACGAAAGCAUGAUUCAGAUCCGAUGAAAAGCACAGAUCAGACGAGCACAGAUGAAAGCUUUUCAGCUAAUUCGAUAUUCCACGGACGACAAUCAAUGCCUCUCACGAAUCUUGGACGAAAACUCUGGCACGAAGGGCAGCGCGUUUCGAAGCUUUAUUUUCGAGAAGAAACUUUUUCCAAGAAGAAGGGAGCCGAAGAAGAGAAACACGAGGAUUCCCUCAUAAUACCAGACAGAAACAACACAGUGAAAUUCUCUGACUGUCGGAAACAUCGUGGAACAACGAGAUACGCUCCCCUCGCAAGUCGAUUCCGCGUUUAAAUUCAAGACGCGUACGGAAAUCGCGAGACUUCGACUCUCGAAUCGCUUCAAAUCGCUCGGUCGGAAUCGGAUUAGCUUUUGAGUGAGUCCCUUGCACGAUCGUGCCGAUUCUUUCCCCGUCACUUCUUCGAUCUGUUUGUCAGUCCUUGAACUACUGUAAUCUCAACUCGUGUCUUCAUCGUGGUAACACAUCGUGGAAUCGAGAAUAAAGAUGAUGACAAACCAUGAAAUUCUUUCAUAAAAAAUGUGAUGUAAUAUUGAUAGAUAUCGUCGAAAUUAUAUUUUCAAAUUCUGUGAAUCAAUUUUUGAUAUAUCUCAUUUUCUGUUUAAAACUAAUAAUAUAAAAUUGAUAUUCAUCGAAUGGAAGUGAGCAAUGGAUAAGAAUUGCAUGAACGCGGUUCUCUAUGUUCUGUAUAUAUAUAAUAACAUCGAGUAUCGAGAAUAAAGAUAACGAUAGUAAGAGAUAUUGAUAUAGAUUCUUGGAAUAUGUAAUAAAAUAUUAUAAAAUAUGGAAUGUGUAAUAAAAUAUAGAUAUCAUCGAAAAUUAUAAUUUCAAAUUCUAUGAAUCAAUUUCUGAAAGAUCUCCUAUAUUGUGAUACUAUUAAAAAUAAUAGUAUGAAAUCGAUAUUCGUUGAAUAGAAGUAAGCAAUGAACUUGAAAAGUUGAAUAAACUCUAAUAAUAUUAAGAAAAGUAGAUAGUAUAUAGAAUAAUUUAUACGUAGUUUUCUCAAGAUAGAAAAAAUUAUCUUAUUAUCGAUAUCUCAUUAUUUUUCAGAGAAAAAUUUCUUUUCUCAUUUAAAUUUUAUAAUUAAUUUAUAUCACUAUAACGAGUUUUUUUUAAAUCACGAAAAUUGUAAUUUUUUAAUACUUUUUAAUAAUUUUUAAUUAAGAUUUUUAUAUUUUAAGAAAAUUAUGUGUAAAUUUGUUUACAUUUUCCAAAUAAAAUAAUCAAAAUAAUCAAUCA